rnacentral:rRNA from 1 species
UACGUAGGGUGCAAGCGUUGUCCGGAAUUAUUGGGCGUAAAGAGCUCGUAGGCGGUUUGUCGCGUCUGCUGUGAAAACUCGGGGCUUAACCCCGGGCCUGCAGUGGGUACGGGCAGACUAGAGUGCGGUAGGGGAGACUGGAAUUCCUGGUGUAGCGGUGAAAUGCGCAGAUAUCAGGAGGAACACCAGUGGCGAAGGCGGAGACCUGGGCCGAUACUGACGCUGAGGUGCGAAAGCGUGGGGAGCAAACAGG